CCUACGGGAGGCUGCAGUGAGGAAUAUUGGUCAAUGGGCGCAAGCCUGAACCAGCCAAGUCGCGUGAGGGAUGACGGUCCUAUGGAUUGUAAACCUCUUUUGUCGGGGAGCAAGGCCCGCCACGUGUGGCGGGAAGGAGAGUACCCGAAGAAAAAGCAUCGGCUAACUCCGUGCCAGCAGCCGCGGUAAUACGGAGGAUGCGAGCGUUAUCCGGAUUUAUUGGGUUUAAAGGGUGCGUAGGCGGAAGGUUAAGUCAGCGGUAAAAUGUCGGUGCUCAACACCGGCCUGCCGUUGAAACUGGUCUUCUUGAGUGAGCGAGAAGUAUGCGGAAUGCGUGGUGUAGCGGUGAAAUGCAUAGAUAUCACGCAGAACUCCGAUUGCGAAGGCAGCAUACCGGCGCGCAACUGACGCUGAGGCACGAAAGCGUGGGGAUCGAACAGGAUUAGAUACCCUAGUAGUC
rnacentral:rRNA from 1 species